rnacentral:rRNA from 1 species
GACGAACGCUGGCGGCGUGCUUAACACAUGCAAGUCGAGCGGUAAGGCCCUUUCGGGGGUACACGAGCGGCGAACGGGUGAGUAACACGUGGGUGACCUGCCUUUAGCUCUGGGAUAAGCCUGGGAAACUGGGUCUAAUACCGGAUAUGACUCCGCGGUGCAUGCUGUGGGGUGGAAAGCCUUGUGCGGCUGGAGAUGGGCCCGCGGCCUAUCAGCUUGUUGGUGGGUGAUGGCCUACCAAGGCGA